rnacentral:tRNA from 1 species
UUUUUUAUAGUGUAACUAUAACAUAUUACAUUUUCACUGUAAAGCUGAAGUAAGCCUUCUAAAAAAU